rnacentral:rRNA from 1 species
UGGGGAAUAUUGGGCAAUGGACGCAAGUCUGACCCAGCGACGCCGCGUGCGGGAAGAAGGCCUUCGGGUUGUAAACCGCUUUCAGCAGGGAAGAAGCGAAAGUGACGGUACCUGCAAAAGAAGCACCGGCUAACUAUGUGCCAGCAGCCGCGGUAAUACAUAGGGUGCAAGCGUUAUUCGGAUUUAUUGGGCGUAAAGAGCGCGUAGGCGGUUUAUCAAGUCAGAUGUGAAAGCCCUGGGCUCAACCUGGGAAGUGCAUUUGAAACUAGUAGACUUGAGUAUGGGAGAGGGAAGUGGAAUUCCUGGUGUAGAGGUGAAAUUCGUAGAUAUCAGGAGGAACACCAAUGGCGAAGGCAGGUCUCUGGGCCAUUACUGACACUGAGGAGCGAAAGCGUGGGGAGCGAACAGG